CCCCUAGUGUCCCUACCAACUUCAGGGACUCGUGUGGUUUACUUCCCUCAGGGUCAUAGUGAGCAGGUUGCUGCCACAACUAACAGAGAAAUUGAUGGACACAUUCCCAAUUACCCUAGCUUGCCACCCCAGUUGAUUUGCCAACUUCAUAAUGUCACAAUGCAUGCAGAUGUUGAAACGGAUGAAGUAUAUGCUCAAAUGACAUUGCAACC